UUGUCUCAAAGAUUAAGCCAUGCAUGUCUCAGUACAAGCCAAAUUAAGGUGAAACCGCGAAAGGCUCAUUAAAUCGGUUAUGGUUCCUUAGAUCGUACCAACAUUUACUUGGAUAACUGUGGUAAUUCUAGAGCUAAUACAUGCAAACAGAGCUCCGACCGGAGACGGAAGGAGCGCUUUUAUUAGAUCAAAACCAAUCGGCGGCGAGUUCCUCGCGGGCUCGACGUCGUUUUAAUUGACGAAUCUGAAUAACUUUCUGCUGAUCGCACGGUCUCGCACCGGCGACGCAUCUUUCAAAUGUCUGCCUUAUCAACUGUCGAUGGUAGGUUCUGUGCCUACCAUGGUUGUAACGGGUAACGGGGAAUCAGGGUUCGAUUCCGGAGAGGGAGCCUGAGAAACGGCUACCACAUCCAAGGAAGGCAGCAGGCGCGCAAAUUACCCACUCCCGGCACGGGGAGGUAGUGACGAAAAAUAACGAUACGGGACUCAUCCGAGGCCCCGUAAUCGGAAUGAGAACAAUUUAAAUCCUUUAACGAGGAUCAAUUGGAGGGCAAGUCUGGUGCCAGCAGCCGCGGUAAUUCCAGCUCCAAUAGCGUAUAUUAAAGUUGUUGCGGUUAAAAAGCUCGUAGUCGAAUCUGUGUCCCGUGCCGCCGGUUCGCCGCUCGCGGUGUUCAACUGGCGUGUUCGCGGGACGUCCUGCCGGUGGGCUUAGCUCGUGAGGGCGGCCCAAUCAUAAUCCCGCCGCGGUGCUCUUCACCGAGUGUCGAGGCGGGCCGGCACGUUUACUUUGAACAAAUUAGAGUGCUUAAAGCAGGCUAAAACUUCGCCUGAAUACUUCGUGCAUGGAAUAAUGGAAUAGGACCUCGGUUCUAUUUUGUUGGUUUUCGGAACCCCGAGGUAAUGAUUAAUAGGAACGGAUGGGGGCAUUCGUAUUGCGACGUUAGAGGUGAAAUUCUUGGAUCGUCGCAAGACGGACAGAAGCGAAAGCAUUUGCCAAAAACGUUUUCAUUGAUCAAGAACGAAAGUUAGAGGUUCGAAGGCGAUCAGAUACCGCCCUAGUUCUAACCAUAAACGAUGCCAGCUAGCGAUCCGCCGACGUUCCUCCGAUGACUCGGCGGGCAGCUUCCGGGAAACCAAAGCUUUUGGGUUCCGGGGGGAGUAUGGUUGCAAAGCUGAAACUUAAAGGAAUUGACGGAAGGGCACCACCAGGAGUGGAGCCUGCGGCUUAAUUUGACUCAACACGGGAAACCUCACCAGGCCCGGACACCGGAAGGAUUGACAGAUUGAGAGCUCUUUCUUGAUUCGGUGGGUGGUGGUGCAUGGCCGUUCUUAGUUGGUGGAGCGAUUUGUCUGGUUAAUUCCGAUAACGAACGAGACUCUGGCCUGCUAACUAGGCGUACCUCCGACAUCUCAAGGCCCGCCGGCUUGGUGCGUUCGCGCGCCUUGUCGCGUGCGGUUUUACUGUCGGCGUACAAACAAUUCUUCUUAGAGGGACAGGCGGCUUUUAGCCGCACGAGAUAGAGCAAUAACAGGUCUGUGAUGCCCUUAGAUGUUCUGGGCCGCACGCGCGCUACACUGAAGGAAUCAGCGUGUCCUCCCUGGCCGAGCGGCCCGGGUAACCCGCUGAACCUCCUUCGUGCUAGGGAUUGGGGCUUGCAAUUGUUCCCCAUGAACGAGGAAUUCCCAGUAAGCGCGAGUCAUAAGCUCGCGUUGAUUACGUCCCUGCCCUUUGUACACACCGCCCGUCGCUACUACCGAUUGAAUGAUUUAGUGAGGUCUUCGGACCGGCACGCGGUGGCAUUUCGAUGUCGCCGAUGCUGCUGGAAAGAUGACCAAACUUGAUCAUUU
rnacentral:rRNA from 1 species